GCUGCCAUAACUCAACAGGUCAGAGCGUGGGUCCAGUAAGCCCAAGGUCGCAGGUUCGACCCCUGCUGACAGCA